rnacentral:rRNA from 1 species
GGGUUGUGAGGUUAAGCGACUAAGCGUACACGGUGGAUGCCCUGGCAGUCAGAGGCGAUGAAGGACGUGCUAAUCUGCGAAAAGCGUCGGUAAGGUGAUAUGAACCGUUAUAACCGGCGAUGUCCGAAUGGGGAAACCCAGUGCAAUUCGUUGCACUAUCGUUAACUGAAUACAUAGGUUAACGAGGCGAACCGGGGGAACUGAAACAUCUAAGUACCCCGAGGAAAAGAAAUCAACCGAGAUUCCCCCAGUAGCGGCGAGCGAACGGGGAGCAGCCCAGAGUCUGAAUCAGCUUGUGUGUUAGUGGAACGGUCUGGAAAGUCCGACGGUACAGGGUGAUAGUCCCGUACACCAAAAUGCACAGGUUGUGAACUCGAAGAGUAGGGCGGGACACGUGGUAUCCUGUCUGAAUAUGGGGGGACCAUCCUCCAAGGCUAAAUACUCCUGACUGACCGAUAGUGAACCAGUACCGUGAGGGAAAGGCGAAAAGAACCCCGGCGAGGGGAGUGAAAAAGAACCUGAAACCGUGUACGUACAAGCAGUGGGAGCACCUUCGGGUGUGACUGCGUACCUUUUGUAUAAUGGGUCAGCGACUUAUAUUCUGUAGCAAGGUUAACCGUAUAGGGGAGCCGCAGGGAAACCGAGUCUUAACUGGGCGUUAAGUUGCAGGGUAUAGACCCGAAACCCGGUGAUCUAGCCAUGGGCAGGUUGAAGGUUGGGUAACACUAACUGGAGGACCGAACCGACUAAUGUUGAAAAAUUAGCGGAUGACUUGUGGCUGGGGGUGAAAGGCCAAUCAAACCGGGAGAUAGCUGGUUCUCCCCGAAAGCUAUUUAGGUAGCGCCUCGUGAACUCAUCUUCGGGGGUAGAGCACUGUUUCGGCUAGGGGGUCAUCCCGACUUACCAACCCGAUGCAAACUACGAAUACCGAAGAAUGUUAUCACGGGAGACACACGGCGGGUGCUAACGUCCGUCGUGAAGAGGGAAACAACCCAGACCGCCAGCUAAGGUCCCAAAGUCAUGGUUAAGUGGGAAACGAUGUGGGAAGGCACAGACAGCCAGGAUGUUGGCUUAGAAGCAGCCAUCAUUUAAAGAAAGCGUAAUAGCUCACUGGUCGAGUCGGCCUGCGCGGAAGAUGUAACGGGGCUAAACCAUGCACCGAAGCUGCGGCAGCGACACUAUGUGUUGUUGGGUAGGGGAGCGUUCUGUAAGCCUGCGAAGGUGUGCUGUGAGGCAUGCUGGAGGUAUCAGAAGUGCGAAUGCUGACAUAAGUAACGAUAAAGCGGGUGAAAAGCCCGCUCGCCGGAAGACCAAGGGUUCCUGUCCAACGUUAAUCGGGGCAGGGUGAGUCGACCCCUAAGGCGAGGCCGAAAGGCGUAGUCGAUGGGAAACAGGUUAAUAUUCCUGUACUUGGUGUUACUGCGAAGGGGGGACGGAGAAGGCUAUGUUAGCCGGGCGACGGUUGUCCCGGUUUAAGCAUGUAGGCUGGUUGUCCAGGCAAAUCCGGAUAAUCAAGGCUGAGGUGUGAUGACGAGGCACUACGGUGCUGAAGUAACAAAUGCCCUGCUUCCAGGAAAAGCCUCUAAGCAUCAGGUAACAUCAAAUCGUACCCCAAACCGACACAGGUGGUCAGGUAGAGAAUACCAAGGCGCUUGAGAGAACUCGGGUGAAGGAACUAGGCAAAAUGGUGCCGUAACUUCGGGAGAAGGCACGCUGGUGUGUAGGUGAAGCCCCUGCGGGUGGAGCUGAGACCAGUCGAAGAUACCAGCUGGCUGCAACUGUUUAUUAAAAACACAGCACUGUGCAAACACGAAAGUGGACGUAUACGGUGUGACGCCUGCCCGGUGCCGGAAGGUUAAUUGAUGGGGUUAUCCGUAAGGAGAAGCUCUUGAUCGAAGCCCCGGUAAACGGCGGCCGUAACUAUAACGGUCCUAAGGUAGCGAAAUUCCUUGUCGGGUAAGUUCCGACCUGCACGAAUGGCGUAAUGAUGGCCAGGCUGUCUCCACCCGAGACUCAGUGAAAUUGAACUCGCUGUGAAGAUGCAGUGUACCCGCGGCAAGACGGAAAGACCCCGUGAACCUUUACUAUAGCUUGACACUGAACAUUGAGCCUUGAUGUGUAGGAUAGGUGGGAGGCUUUGAAGCGUGGACGCCAGUCUGCGUGGAGCCAACCUUGAAAUACCACCCUUUAAUGUUUGAUGUUCUAACGUUGGCCCCUGACCGGGGUUGCGGACAGUGUCUGGUGGGUAGUUUGACUGGGGCGGUCUCCUCCCAAAGCGUAACGGAGGAGCACGAAGGUUAGCUAAUCCUGGUCGGACAUCAGGAGGUUAGUGCAAUGGCAUAAGCUAGCUUGACUGCGAGCGUGACGGCGCGAGCAGGUGCGAAAGCAGGUCAUAGUGAUCCGGUGGUUCUGAAUGGAAGGGCCAUCGCUCAACGGAUAAAAGGUACUCCGGGGAUAACAGGCUGAUACCGCCCAAGAGUUCAUAUCGACGGCGGUGUUUGGCACCUCGAUGUCGGCUCAUCACAUCCUGGGGCUGAAGUAGGUCCCAAGGGUAUGGCUGUUCGCCAUUUAAAGUGGUACGCGAGCUGGGUUUAGAACGUCGUGAGACAGUUCGGUCCCUAUCUGCCGUGGGCGCUGGAGAAUUGAGGGGGGCUGCUCCUAGUACGAGAGGACCGGAGUGGACGCAUCACUGGUGUUCGGGUUGUCAUGCCAAUGGCACUGCCCGGUAGCUAAAUGCGGAAGAGAUAAGUGCUGAAAGCAUCUAAGCACGAAACUUGCCCCGAGAUGAGUUCUCCCUGAGACUUUAAGUCUCCUGAAGGAACGUU